GCGCGGGUAGCUCAGUGGUAGAGCGUUCGAUUGCAGCUCGAAUGGUCGCUGGUUCAAUCCCGGUCUCGCGCU
rfam:Albugo candida, Ac Nc2, WGS project CAIX01000000 data, contig: AcNc2_CONTIG_2183_length_561